rnacentral:rRNA from 1 species
CUCCAGACUCCUACGGGAGGCAGCAGUGGGGAAUAUUGCACAAUGGGGGAAACCCUGAUGCAGCGACGCCGCGUGAGCGAUGAAGUAUUUCGGUAUGUAAAGCUCUAUCAGCAGGGAAGAAGAUGACGGUACCUGACUAAGAAGCCCCGGCUAACUACGUGCCAGCAGCCGCGGUAAUACGUAGGGGGCAAGCGUUAUCCGGAUUUACUGGGUGUAAAGGGAGCGUAGGCGGCAGUGCAAGUCCGGAGUGAAAGCCCGGGGGUCAACCCGGGGGCUGCUCUGAAAACUGAAAAGCUGGAGUGCGGGAGGGGCAGGCGGAAUUCCUGGUGUAGCGGUGAAAUGCGUAGAUAUCAGGAGGAACACCGGUGGCGAAGGCGGCCUGCUGGACUGCGACUGACGUUGAGGCCCGAAAGCGUGGGGAGCAAACAGGAUUAGAUACCCCCGUA